rnacentral:rRNA from 1 species
CCUACGGGCGGCAGCAGUGGGGAAUAUUGCACAAUGGGGGAAACCCUGAUGCAGCGACGCCGCGUGAGUGAGGAAGUAUUUCGGUAUGUAAAGCUCUAUCAGCAGGGAAGAAAAUGACGGUACCUGACUAAGAAGCCCCGGCUAACUACAUGCCAGCAGCCGCGGUAAUACGUAGGGGGCAAGCGUUAUCCGGAUUUACUGGGUGUAAAGGGAGCGUAGGCGGCGAUGCAAGUCAGAAGUGAAAGCCCGGGGCUCAACUCCGGGACUGCUUUUGAAACUGUAUGGCUAGAGUGCAGGAGAGGCAAGUGGAAUUCCUAGUGUAGCGGUGAAAUGCGUAGAUAUUAGGAGGAACACCAGUGGCGAAGGCGGCUUGCUGGACUGUAAAUGACGCUGAGGCUCGAAAGCGUGGGGAGCAAACAGGAUUAGAUACCCUAGUAGUC